CUUUCUCAAGGCCACGUGGCCCUUCCUCAUUAGAAAGGGCAAGAGGGGGAAGAGGAGACUGAAACCUGGAGGCCCUUCCCAAGAGUCCAAGUUUCUUCCUGCGGACAGGAGACUACGAGAGCUGCUGGCUGAAUGGGUGAAUGGUCGCAGGCAAGAGCAGGGCUGGACCUAGAAGAAGCUACGUCCUCAGUCUGAGAGCUUCCAUGGCUGCCUUGAGCAAGAUGGAGGUGAGGAUGAUUGAUGCCUGUCUCCGUGGUGACAGCAGUCUCUUCCCCAGCAACUGGAGUCUGAACGGGCAGAGCAGGGAGGACCAGUCACACAGCUCUGAGGCCUUUGAUGAUCUGUGGUGCACAGAGAGAACGGGCAAUGGCUCCCUCCUCACCUCCCCUAGUAUCAAAAAGAAUCAAGUUCCUGGUGGUGACUUUUUGGAGUGACAGGUCUGCUCUGGAUCGCCACUGUGUCUUGCUGUGUGGACACUGCUACCUUAUAAAGGAGGAAAAUAAAAUGCAGAGUAGAAUCAA